GACGUAGGGCGCGAGCGUUGUCCGGAUUUAUUGGGCGUAAAGAGCUCGUAGGCGGCUUGUUGCGUCGACUGUGAAAACCCGCGGCUCAACCGUGUGGUCUGCAGUCGAUACGGGCAGGCUGGAGUUCGGUAGGGGAGACUGGAAUUCCUGGUGUAGCGGUGGAAAUGCGCAGAUAUCAGGAAGAACACCCGUGGCGAAGGCGGCUUUCUGGGACGGUACUGACGCUGGAGACGCGAAAGCGUGGGGAGCGAACAGG
rnacentral:rRNA from 1 species